rnacentral:rRNA from 1 species
GACGAACGCUGGCGGCAGGCCUAACACAUGCAAGUCGAACGGAUCCUUCGGGAUUAGUGGCGGACGGGUGAGUAACACGUGGGAACGUGCCCUUUGGUUCGGAACAACUCAGGGAAACUUGAGCUAAUACCGGAUGUGCCCUUCGGGGGAAAGAUUUAUCGCCAUUGGAGCGGCCCGCGUCUGAUUAGCUAGUUGGUGAGGUAAAGGCUCACCAAGGCGACGAUCAGUAGCUGGUCUGAGAGGAUGAUCAGCCACAUUGGGACUGAGACACGGCCCAAACUCCUACGGGAGGCAGCAGUGGGGAAUCUUGCGCAAUGGGCGAAAGCCUGACGCAGCCAUGCCGCGUGAAUGAUGAAGGUCUUAGGAUUGUAAAAUUCUUCCACCGGGGACGAUAAUGACGGUACCCGGAGAAGAAGCCCCGGCUAACUUCGUGCCAGCCGCCGCCGUAACAC